CUUAUCAAGAGUGGCUGAGGAAUCAGGUCCUGUGAAGCCCGGCAACCUUUUCAGUAAGGUGCCAAAUCCUGCGGUGUAAACCGAAAGAUGAGG
rnacentral:ncRNA from 1 species